rnacentral:rRNA from 1 species
AGUGAACGCUGGCGGUAGGCCUAACACAUGCAAGUCGAACGGCAGCACAGUAAGAGCUUGCUCUUACGGGUGGCGAGUGGCGGACGGGUGAGGAAUACAUCGGAAUCUACUUUUUCGUGGGGGAUAACGUAGGGUAACUUACGCUACUACCGCAUACGACCUACGGGUGAAAGCAGGGGAUCUUCGGACCUUGCGCGAUUGAAUGAGCCGAUGUCGGAUUAGCUAGUUGGCGGGGUAAAGGCCCACCAAGGCGACGAUCCGUAGCUGGUCUGAGAGGAUGAUCAGCCACACCGGAACUGAGACACGGUCCAGACUCCUACGGGAGGCAGCAGUGGGGAAUAUUGGACAAUGGGCGCAAGCCUGAUCCAGCCAUACCGCGUGGGUGAAGAAGGCCUUCGGGUUGUAAAGCCCUUUUGUUGGGAAAGAAAAGCAGCAGGUUAAUACCCCGCUGUUCUGACGGUACCCAAAGAAUAAGCACCGGCUAACUUCGUG